rnacentral:ribozyme from 1 species
ACUUUGACGGCAUUGUGCAAGGCUUGAUCGACGCUGCCAACAACGAGCCAAUGUAAUUUAUCUCAAACCCACACUCAUUAAAUAAAUAAAACCAGAAACAAA